AAAAUCCUAAGUUAUGGAGUGUGGGUUGGAGGGCGUUUCUCUCCUCCGCCUGACUGUCUUAGUACGCUGGCGAGCUAAUCACUAAGAGAACAAUCAGGAUGAUGAUUAACGUCAUCAUAACCCUUCC
rnacentral:sRNA from 1 species